UACAGAGGGUGCAAGCGUUAAUCGGAAUUACUGGGCGUAAAGCGUGCGUAGACGGUUAUUUAAGUCAGGUGUGAAAGCCCCGGGCUCAACCUGGGAAUUGCAUUUGAGACUGAAUAGCUAGGGUGCGGAAGAGGGAAGCGGAAUUUCCGGUGUAGCGGUGAAAUGCGCAGAUAUCAGGAGGAACACCGGUGGCGAAGGCGGGUCUCUGGGCCGAUACUGACGCUGGAGGAGCGAAAGCGUGGGGAGCGAACAGG
rnacentral:rRNA from 1 species